CAGUAGCCGCGGGAAUACGUAGGUGGCAAGCGUUGUCCGGAAUUAUUGGGCGUAAAGGGCUCGCAGGCGGUUUCUUAAGUCUGAUGUGAAAGCCCCCGGCUCAACCGGGGAGGGUCAUUGGAAACUGGGAAACUUGAGUGCAGAAGAGGAGAGUGGAACUCCACGUGUAGCGGUGAGAUGCGUAGAGAUGUGGAGGAACACCAGUGGCGAAGGCGACUCUCUGGUCUGUAACUGACGCUGAGGAGCGAAAGCGUGGGGAGCGAACAGGAUUAGAUACCCCGGUAGUCCCUGUCUCUUAUAC
rnacentral:rRNA from 1 species